rnacentral:rRNA from 1 species
CAGAUGGGAGCUUGCUCCCUGAUGUUAGCGGCGGACGGGUGAGUAACACGUGGGUAACCUGCCUGUAAGACUGGGAUAACUCCGGGAAACCGGGGCUAAUACCGGAUGGUUGUCUGAACCGCAUGGUUCAGACAUAAAAGGUGGCUUCGGCUACCACUUACAGAUGGACCCGCGGCGCAUUAGCUAGUUGGUGAGGUAACGGCUCACCAAGGCGACGAUGCGUAGCCGACCUGAGAGGGUGAUCGGCCACACUGGGACUGAGACACGGCCCAGACUCCUACGGGAGGCAGCAGUAGGGAAUCUUCCGCAAUGGACGAAAGUCUGACGGAGCAACGCCGCGUGAGUGAUGAAGGUUUUCGGAUCGUAAAGCUCUGUUGUUAGGGAAGAACAAGUGCCGUUCAAAUAGGGCGGCACCUUGACGGUACCGAACCAGAAAGCCACGGCUAAGCUACGUGCCAGCAGCCGCGGUAAUACGUAGGUGGCAAGCGUUGUCCGGAAUUAUUGGGCGUAAAGGGCUCGCAGGCGGUUUCUUAAGUCUGAUGUGAAAGCCCCCGGCUCAACCGGGGAGGG